rnacentral:rRNA from 1 species
AGAGCGAACGCUGGCGGCAGGCUUAACACAUGCAAGUCGAGCGGGCGUAGCAAUACGUCAGCGGCAGACGGGUGAGUAACGCGUGGGAACGUACCUUUUGGUUCGGAACAACACAGGGAAACUUGUGCUAAUACCGGAUAAGCCCUUACGGGGAAAGAUUUAUCACCAAAAGAUCGGCCCGCGUCUGAUUAGCUAGUUGGUGAGGUAACGGCUCACCAAGGCGACGAUCAGUAGCUGGUCUGAGAGGAUGAUCAGCCACAUUGGGACUGAGACACGGCCCAAACUCCUACGGGAGGCAGCAGUGGGGAAUAUUGGACAAUGGGCGCAAGCCUGAUCCAGCCAUGCCGCGUGAGUGAUGAAGGCCCUAGGGGUUGUAAAGCUUCUUUUGUGCGGGAAGAUAAUGACGGUACCGCAAGAAUAAGCCCCGGCUAACUUCGCGCCAGCAGCCGC